UACAGAGGCGGCAAGCGUUGUUCGGAAUUAUUGGGCGUAAAGAGCACGUAGGCGGCUGUGUAAGUCGGUUGUGAAAGCCUUCCGCUCAACGGAAGAACGGCAUCCGAUACUGCAUGGCUUGAGUGUGGGAGGGGAGAGUGGAACUUCUGGUGGAGCGGUGAAAUGCGUAGAGAUGCGGAGGAACACCGAUGGCGAAGGCAGCCUCCUGGGAUGACACUGACGCUCAUGCACGAAAGCGUGGGGAGCAAAC
rnacentral:rRNA from 1 species